GGAAAAUCCGUCGACUUUAAAAAUCGUGAGGGUUCAAG
rnacentral:tRNA from 1 species